rnacentral:rRNA from 1 species
CCUAGCCCUAAACUUUGAUAGCUACCUUUACAAAGCUAUCCGCCAGAGAACUACUAGCCAGAGCUUAAAACUUAAAGGACUUGGCGGUGCUUUAUAUCCACCUAGGGGAGCCUGUCUCAUAACCGAUGAACCCCGAUACACCUUACCGUCACUUGCUAAUUCAGUCCAUAUACCACCAUCUUCAGCAAACCCCUAUAGGGCACAAAAGUGAGCUUAAUCAUAACCCAUGAAAAAGUUAGGCCGAGGUGUCGCCUACGUGACGGUCAAAGAUGGGCUACAUUUUCUAUUAUAGAACAGAUAAACG